rnacentral:tRNA from 2 species
GGGCGCAUAGCUCAGUUGGCAGAGCAGCUGACUCUUAAUCAGCGGGUCCCAGGUUCGAGCCCUGGUGCGCCCACCA